rnacentral:rRNA from 1 species
GACGAACGCUGGCGGCGUGCCUAAUACAUGCAAGUUGAGCGCUGAAGGUUGGUACUUGUACCGACUGGAUGAGCAGCGAACGGGUGAGUAACGCGUGGGGAAUCUGCCUUUGAGCGGGGGACAACAUUUGGAAACGAAUGCUAAUACCGCAUAAAAACUUUAAACACAAGUUUUAAGUUUGAAAGAUGCAAUUGCAUCACUCAAAGAUGAUCCCGCGUUGUAUUAGCUAGUUGGUGAGGUAAAGGCUCACCAAGGCGAUGAUACAUAGCCGACCUGAGAGGGUGAUCGGCCACAUUGGGACUGAGACAUGGCCCAAACUCCUACGGGAGGCAGCAGUAGGGAAUCUUCGGCAAUGGACGAAAGUCUGACCGAGCAACGCCGCGUGAGUGAAGAAGGUUUUCGGAUCGUAAAACUCUGUUGGUAGAGAAGAACGUUGGUGAGAGUGGAAAGCUCAUCAAGUGACGGUAACUACCCAGAAAGGGACGGCUAACUACGUG